UUUUAGCAAACACAAGCUGUGUUCGAAACCGUUCCCUCAUUCACUCACUCACUAUUACCUAUAUAGUGUUUAUUAAAUAGUGAGCUAUAUAGGGAACGACCAUACGAGAUUUUGGACACUCACUGAAAAUAUCGUUGCGUCAGUAGAUGCGCCGGUUAUUUGUGUGACGGAGGCGGGCA